rnacentral:rRNA from 1 species
GAUGAACGCUAGCUACAGGCUUAACACAUGCAAGUCGAGGGGUAGCAUGUUGGUUGCUUGCAACCGAUGAUGACGACCGGCGCACGGGUGAGUAACGCGUAUCCAACUUGGCUUAUACUUAGGGAUAACCCGUUGAAAGACGGCCUAAUACCUAAUGGUUUAUAAUAGUUGCAUGACUUUUAUAAUAAAGAUUUAUCGGUAUAAGAUAGGGAUGCGUCUGAUUAGUUAGUUGGUGAGGUAACGGCUCACCAAGGCAUCGAUCAGUAGGGGUUCUGAGAGGAAGGUCCCCCACAUUGGAACUGAGACACGGUCCAAACUCCUACGGGAGGCAGCAGUGAGGAAUAUUGGUCAAUGGACGUAAGUCUGAACCAGCCAAGUAGCGUGCAGGAUGACGGCCCUAUGGGUUGUAAACUGCUUUUAUGUGAGAAUAAAGUUAACUACGUGUAGUUAUUUGCAUGUAUCACAUGAAUAAGGACCGGCUAAUUCCGUGCCAGCAGCCGCGGUAAUACGGAAGGUCCAGGCGUUAUCCGGAUUUAUUGGGUUUAAAGGGAGCGUAGGCCGUUUGGUAAGCGUGCUGUGAAAUUUGGAGGCUCAAUCUCUACCGUGCAGCGCGAACUGUCAGACUUGAGUGCGUAGUAGGUAGGCGGAAUUCGUGGUGUAGCGGUGAAAUGCUUAGAUAUCACGAAGAACUCCGAUUGCGAAGGCAGCUUACCGUAUCGCAACUGACGCUGAUGCUCGAAGGUGCGGGUAUCGAACAGGAUUAGAUACCCUGGUAGUCCGCACAGUAAACGAUGGAUGCUCGCUGUUGGCUUUUAUAGUCAGUGGCUUAGCGAAAGCGUUAAGCAUCCCACCUGGGGAGUACGCCGGCAACGGUGAAACUCAAAGGAAUUGACGGGGGCCCGCACAAGCGGAGGAACAUGUGGUUUAAUUCGAUGAUACGCGAGGAACCUUACCCGGGCUUGAACUGCAGGAGAACGAUUCAGAGAUGAUGAGGUCCUUCGGGACUCCUGUGGAGGUGCUGCAUGGUUGUCGUCAGCUCGUGCCGUGAGGUGUCGGCUUAAGUGCCAUAACGAGCGCAACCCCUUUUCUUAGUUGCCAUCGGGUGAUGCCGGGCACUCUGAGGAUACUGCCACCGUAAGGUGUGAGGAAGGUGGGGAUGACGUCAAAUCAGCACGGCCCUUACGUCCGGGGCUACACACGUGUUACAAUGGGGCAUACAGAGUGUUGGUUGCAUGUAAAUGUAAUCUAAUCUUUAAUGUGCUUCUCAGUUCGGACUGGGGUCUGCAACCCGACCCCACGAAGCUGGAUUCGCUAGUAAUCGCGCAUCAGCCAUGGCGCGGUGAAUACGUUCCCGGGCCU